UUUUUGGAGAGUUUGAUCUUGGCUCAGGACGAACGCUGGCGGCGUGCCUAAUACAUGCAAGUCGAGCGCUGGAAGCUAAUUUCAUCCCUUCGGGAUGAAAUUAGUGGAAAGAGCGGCGGACGGGUGAGUAACACGUGGGCAACCUACCUAUAAGACUGGGAUAACUCGCGGAAACGUGAGCUAAUACCGGAUAAUACUUUUUAUUGCAUAGUAAGAAGUUUGAAAGGCGGCGUAAGCUGUCACUUAUAGAUGGGCCCGCGGCGCAUUAGCUAGUUGGUGAGGUAAAGGCUCACCAAGGCAACGAUGCGUAGCCGACCUGAGAGGGUGAUCGGCCACAC
rnacentral:rRNA from 1 species